rnacentral:rRNA from 1 species
UGGUGGAGUGAUUUGUCUGGUUGAUUCCGUUAACGAACGAGACCUCGGCUUGCUUUAUAGUGCUGCAAAUGGCAUUCAUUUGUAUUGGCACUUCAAAGAGGGACAUUUCGGUUUUACCGGAAGGAAGUUCGAGGCAAUAACA